rnacentral:tRNA from 1 species
GUGGGUAUAGCUCAGUUGGCUAGAGCGCCAGGUUGUGGCCCUGGAGGUCAUGGGUUCAAGCCCCACUACUCACCCCA